GUGCACUGUGGCAGCACACACACGAAAAUUGCAACGAUUCAGAGAAGAUUAGCACGGCCCCUGCACGAGGAUGACAGGCCAAUUCGUUUGGCUUCCAUAUGUUU
rnacentral:snRNA from 1 species